GUCAUUCAAAAGUUGGUCAUUUCUCAUGUGUAACAAAAAAAAUAAUUGUUUGUACACUCUUAGAAACAGGAAGCAUGGUCUUUCUUUUAGUUGCUACAUGAUUGUAAGCCAGCUAUUUGCCUCUUUUCUGGCUUCCUUUCCUCUUAUUUUUGGCACAGCAACCGUGUAACCAAAUAUCGUUUAUUAUUCUGCUAUGUAUAAGAAAAUUUUG
rnacentral:misc_RNA from 1 species